GAUGAACGCUGGCGGCGUGCCUAAUACAUGCAAGUCGAGCGAACGGACGAGAAGCUUGCGUCGCUGAUGUUAGCGGCGGACGGGUGAGUAACACGUGUAUAACCUACCUAUAAGACGGGGAUAACUUCGGGAAACCGGAGCUAAUACCGGAGGAUAUUCUGAACCGCAUGGUGCGAAAGUGAAAGACGGUCUUGCUGUCACUUAUAGAUGGAUCCGCGCUGCAUUAGAUAGUUGUUAGGGUAACGGCUUACCAAGGCAACGAUGCAUAGCCGACGUGAGAGGCGGAUCGGCCACACGGGAGCGGGGACACCGUCCAGAGUACUACGGGAGGCAGCAGUCGCGAAUGUUCCGCAACGGGCGAAAGCCUUGCGGAGCGGGGCGACGCGAGUUAUGAAGGUCUUCGGAGCGUAAAGCUCUGUUAUUAGGUAAGAACAUAUGUGUACGUAGAUGUGCACAGCUUGACGGUACCUAAUCAGAAAGCAACGGCUAACUACGUG
rnacentral:rRNA from 1 species